GAUGAACGCUAGCGGCAGGCUUAAUACAUGCAAGUCGAGGGGCAGCAUGAUUGUAGCAAUACAAUUGAUGGCGACCGGCAAACGGGUGCGGAACACGUACACAACCUUCCAACAAGUGGGGGAUAGCCCAGAGAAAUUUGGAUUAAUACCCCGUAACAUAGCGAUGUGGCAUCACAUUGCUAUUAUAGAUUUUUCGUUUUUUGAUGGGUGUGCGGCUGAUUAGAUAGUUGGCGGGGUAACGGCCCACCAUGCCUACGAUCAGUAGGGGAUGUGAGAGAAUGAUCAGCCACACGGGCACUGAGACACGGGCCCGACUCCUACGGGAGGCAGCAGUAAGGAAUAUUGGACAAUGGACGCAAGUCUGAUCCAGCCAUGCCGCGUGAAGGAUUAAGGUCCUCUGGAUUGUAAACUUCUUUUAUAAGGGACGAAAAAGGGCUUUUCUAAGUCGUCUGACGGUACCUUAUGAAUAAGCACCGGCUAACUCCGUGCCAGCCGCCGCCGUAA
rnacentral:rRNA from 1 species